rnacentral:rRNA from 1 species
AUUCCAGCUCCAAUAGCGUAUAUUUAAGUUGUUGCAGUUAAAAAGCUCGUAGUUGGAUUUCGGAUGUGAACGACCGGUCCGCCGUUGCGGUGUGCACUGGACGUUUGUAUCUUGUUGUCGGGGACGCGCACCUUGCCUUAAGUGGUCGGGACGCGGAGUCGGCGCUGUUACUUUGAAAAAAUUAGAGUGUUCAAAGCAGGCAACCGCUCUGAAUACAUUAGCAUGGAAUAACGCUAUAGGACUCUGGUCUUAUUGUGUUGGUCUUCGAGACCGGAGUAAUGAUUAAGAGGGACAGUUGGGGGCAUUCGUAUUUCAUUGUCAGAGGUGAAAUUCUUGGAUUUAUGAAAGACGAACUUCUGCGAAAGCAUUUGCCAAGGAUGUUUUCAUUA